CCGAGUAUACAACUCAUAACCCUUUGUGAACCUUUAUACCUGUUGCUUCGGCGGCGCGCCUCCGGGCGUGCCCGCCGGUAUCAUCAGAAUCUCUGUUUGAACCCGACGAUACUUCUGAGUGUUCUAAGCGAACUGUUA
rnacentral:misc_RNA from 1 species